rnacentral:rRNA from 1 species
GUGCCAGCAGCCGCGGUAAGACAGAGGGUGCAAACGUUGCUCGGAAUUACUGGGCGUAAAGCGCGUGUAGGCGGGUCGGAAAGUCGGGCGUGAAAGCCCCAGGCUCAACCUGGGAACUGCACUCGAAACUUCCGGUCUAGAGUGGUGGAGAGGGAAGUGGAAUUCCUGGUGUAGAGGUGAAAUUCGUAGAUAUCAGGAGGAACACCAGUGGCGAAGGCGGCUUCCUGGACACCAACUGACGCUGAGACGCGAAAGCGUGGGGAGCAAACAGGAUUAGAUACCCGCGUAGUCC